UUAUGCAGACUGAGAGGCUGCGCUGGCCUGGGCAGUGGAGGCUGUGUCCCUGGCUUGGCUCCCAACGGGUGGGAAUUACCCAACAUGCACUCUGGACCCUGUGACAUGUUCCCUUGAACCUUGCUGUGAUUGCUAAAUCCCAGCUUCCACUCCCUCUGUCACUUGAUGCCUUCACCCAGUGGCUCUAACCCCACCCAACCCCACAUCUGCACCUACCAGGCCACUUUAUGAGCUGUACUACCUCUGCUUUGGGCUGCAGACCAUACCGGAGCUCAGAGAGCCCAAUGCCAGGAAGGAUUGUGAUUUGGGGCUGAAACUCCCAGGCACAAACCCUUUUUCUAGGGAUUCGUAUGGUUACCCUGAGUGCUGGCGAGGCUGGUGGGUUAGAGAGCCUGGCUGUCCCCAACAC